rnacentral:rRNA from 1 species
CAGUAGCCGCGGGAAUACGAAGGGUGCAAGCGUUAAUCGGAAUUACUGGGCGUAAAGCGCACGCAGGCGGUCUGUCAAGUCGGAUGUGAAAUCCCCGGGCUCAACCUGGGAACUGCAUUCGAAACUGGCAGGCUAGAGUCUUGUAGAGGGGGGUAGAAUUCCAGGUGUAGCGGUGAAAUGCGUAGAGAUCUGGAGGAAUACCGGUGGCGAAGGCGGCCCCCUGGACAAAGACUGACGCUCAGGUGCGAAAGCGUGGGGAGCAAACAGGAUUAGAUACCCCAGUAGUCCCUGUCUCUUAUAC